UACGUAGGGUGCGAGCGUUAAUCGGAAUUACUGGGCGUAAAGCGUGCGCAGGCGGUGAUGUAAGACCGAUGUGAAAGCCCCGGGCUUAACCUGGGAAUUGCGAUGGAGACUGCAAGGCUUGAAUCUGGCAGAGGGGGGUAGAAUUUCACGUGUAGCAGUGAAAUGCGUAGAGAUGUGGAGGAACACCGAUGGCGAAGGCAGCCCCCUGGGUCAAGAUUGACGCUCAUGCACGAAAGCGUGGGGAGCAAACAGG
rnacentral:rRNA from 1 species